rnacentral:rRNA from 1 species
CACGUAGGGGGCGAGCGUUGUCCGGAUUUAUUGGGCGUAAAGAGCUCGUAGGCGGCUCAGUAAGUCAGGUGUGAAAACUCCAGGCUCAACCUGGAGACGCCACUUGAUACUGCUGUGGCUAGAGUCCGGUAGGGGAGCAUGGAAUUCCUGGUGUAGCGGUGAAAUGCGCAGAUAUCAGGAGGAACACCAGUGGCGAAGGCGGCAUCCUGGACCGGUAUUGACGCUGAGGCGCGAAAGCUAGGGGAGCAAACGGG